GCCGGAGUGGCGGAGUUGGCAGACGCAGGGGACUUAAAAUCCCCUUGGGUUAUCCCAGCGCGGGUUCGAAUCCCGCCUCCGGUA
rnacentral:tRNA from 1 species